UGCUUUCGACUCUGUUUACACCGCGAGCGUGUAUCGAGUUUGAGAGCGCUUCAACGUUUGAUUCAAAUCAGAGAUCACUUCUGAUCCGGAUUCUUUGUUUGUGUUUACGUUCGGUCCUUGUCGUUCCAAACUCAAAUCACAGGUUUGAAACAUUCUACCAUCCAGUCAAAAUAGACAAAAAUAAGUCAAAACUAGGGCAAAAUUCGCAUAGAGCUGAAAAUUGGCAGAGGCGUUAAAUAUAUAAAGUUUCUUGGACUCUCCUAAAGAUUUAAAAUAUUAUAGUUUUGUUGAUACAAAAUGUCCCGACAUCAACUUUGUUAUUUUAAAUAAAACACCCUAUAUAUUUCGAAAUUUUUGGAAUCCUUGGUUAUAAUAAAGGUCGCUUUCUUAAGAAAUUCCUAUUCGAAUUUUGCAUAGUUUUGUGUUCCUUUAAAUUUAACCAUAGACUGAGGAGAUGAUGCACUACACAGGGUGUCCCAAAUAGGCGGUGCCGUUUUGGCGAAUUCAAUUAACAAAAUCUCAAACACACUAUACUUACAGCUCAGUCGUGACAUAUACGUGAUCGAGUGAUAGAAUGUUUAAGUUAGAACCAGCGAUUUUUAUAGGGAUAUUAAGUUUGAAACUUAUUUAAAAUGUUAACAUUUUAAUACUUUUCUUAAACAGGAAUUCAGUUAAUUGUGGGUUGUAAAUUCAUACGGUAAUGCAGAACAGGAAAAUAACCCCUUAACAAAUGGUUUUUCACGACGACGUUUCAUGCAGAAGGUGUAACGGAACGAGGAUUAAAUAAAGGUUAAUAAAUAUAUGUAUAUUCGAGUUAUCGCAAAAAAAUAUCUCAGAAGCACAGAAACAAAAUAUCAAGCAUCAGGAAAAGUUGAAGAGAACGGUGUAUUCAUCUUAAGGAAGGAGACCAAAAGAAUAUAUGACUUGAGACAAGAAAGGCCGAAGGUGCCUCACUUCCUUCAACUCAGUAUGUACCUCUAGGCAGAGGUGGAGGCAAUCGAAUGUACCUCUAGAAUUGAAAGACUUGACUAGAGUUCUGGGAGCAAGCAAGUGACCUAGA